rnacentral:pre_miRNA from 1 species
AGUGUACUCCCUCCGUUUCAUAUUAAGUGGCAAAAUAUUAUAUGUAUUUAGACACUUUUGGGGUAUAGAUACAUCCAUAUUUAAGCAAAUUUGAGUCAUUUAAUAUGGGACGGAGGGAGUACAGC